rnacentral:lncRNA from 1 species
UUAGCCAAAAUAGACAAGAGACUCACGUGCUGAGUCACCAUCUAAUAACUGCUUCCAAUUACAAAUAAGGAUAAUAAUUAUCUAGCAACAUGUGAAGAAGGUGUGACACAAUACGGUUCUAACACGAAGUUACGGGUUUGUGGUUAAGUGUUUGUUGUCAUAAGAACGAAUAUAAUGGAUGCGCGUUCGUUGUAGGUGUUGGUGUCAUGAUGUGGGGGAAAUAGGGUUUCUAUAUGCAUAUUUGGGUGAUUUAUUAAUGAUUUGAUUUAGCCAUUUGGGUUAUUUGGGUUUGAAUUUAUGAGUUUCUCUUUAGGUUGUUGGUUUGGUUUUGUGUGUAUUUUGUGUUCUUUGACGUGGGGGUGAUCAAAGAGCAGACAAGGGAGAAUGUGAGAGAGAGGAGGAGGAGGAGGAGGACAAUGAGGGGGUGGUUGCAGGCAGGGAUCAAUGUAGGUUAUGAAGUAAGACAUAACAAAGAAGGAUGGAAAGAAAAGAGGAGUUCAACAGAGAAUGAGUGUGUUUAUCUCUCAUUUUAGACCUAUUUAUUUUCAUCCUUGUUCCUAUUUCAUUUGGUGAAUGAAAUUCUCACUCACUUUGUCAAAAUGGGACUGUCUGUUUGUCCUUUUUCUAGUCAUAUUUAGCAACGAGCUGUCCAAACAUUAGUAAUGGGAUAUGAGCAUGUAGAUAGACUUUUUGUUAGUUUUUGUUUGUCCAAACAUUAGUAAUGGGAUAUGAGCUUGUAGAUAGACUUUUUAUUAGUUUCUAUUUGUCCUACACUGAAAAGAAACCUCAUCACAUAGACUUUUUGUUAGUUUCUUCUCAUAGUUAUCUUUCAAAUUCCAUAGUUUGUACAUCUAGAUAACCAUUAAUUUAUUUAGUGCUCCAAAACAUAUUUACCUAACUUGGGAUCAUGUUUUUGUUGGUGUCAGUUGAUUUUUUAGUGCUCCAAUACAUAUUUUACCUAUCUUAGUUCUUGUUAGCAUAACAUAUAAACAAAAUAAGUAAAUAUUAGCUCCCAAUGUUACACUGUCUACAUGUUUUUGUUGGUGUGAGUUCAUUAGUUAGUGCUCCAUCACAUUACCAAUCUGUCAAAAGGAACACAGUCUACAUAAAAAUGCAUCUUUAAAAUAAAUAAGUCAAUAUUAGCUCCCAAGGUUUUAACUUCAUAAUAGGAUGCAUUUAAAGAUUAUUGUAGAUGGGUUAGUUAGUUAGUUAGUUUUUUUUUUUCUUUUAAUGAAAAAACAUGUUCAUUGCAAUACUCAAUUGUAUUCCUAUCUCAUGUUUUCAUUCACCUUAUAUAUGUGAAAUAAAAUGCAUAUAAUAAGAUGAUAUCUAAACAAAUUCUUGAUUGUUUUUGUAGAUGUCGAACUUAAUAACAAAUCGGCGGGUAGCUAGUAGGGGUAAUCAUACACCGUCUCCAAGAGGUAAUUCUGCUGCCACCUCCACACCUGAUAUGGCCACGACGGGUGUCCCUCCGGUCCCUUUGGGGCUAACGGUGUCUACGACUCUUGCUUCAUUGACUUCUUUAGUGAUGCAUCAUGUCCUAAGCGCUUGACGGACUCAUCGACGACCCUGGAGUUCUGAGGAAUCUCAGUCGUUUGGUGAGGCUUCCUCUGUCCAUGGAAAGGGGUCCCAGACAGGUAACCUUGCUCUGUCCAUUAAUUAUUGUUAAGUAGCACUAAGUAAAUUGAAGUCAUAUCAACAAGUUGUAAAUUUUGUUUUAACAUUCCUAAUUGGUAUAAACUGUUUGAAUUGUUGGGUGGAUGUUGUUUUUGUUGGUAUAUUGUUUGCAGGUUUUAGGAAAUGUUAUUGUUUUAGGGAGGUUCUACCGAAUUUUCGGUAGAAAAUAGAAUUCGUCUAAUGUUUACUUUGUUUAUUUGAUAGGUCAAAAAAAAAAAAAACAAGGGGCCCUUGUUGACUACAAAAGACUAAACAGACCACUCGCACCACGACCCAGAAGAUCACCAUUACAUGGGAUCCUCGACAUUGUGCGGCUGCAACAAAGGAGCAGCACAAUGCAUUGGCCACCAACAUUGGCUACAUCAUCAGGAACCAUUGCCCCCUCAGGUGGGAGUCAUGGAGAGCUAUGCCACAAGAAUUCAAGGACUCCGUGCUUUAUGAAUUAUCGGUAAGUAUUUUCAAUCUCAAAUACUAAAUUUUUAUUAUAGUAUACAAAGAUUAUAAAUUUUAACUACUAUUUAUUUGUUGAGUUUUGUAGCAUCACUAUGAGCUCUCCAACAUCGAUUCCAACCAAAUGGAG